UUAUUGCAUGGUUUACUCUGCAGGAGAACCGACCUGUCCGGAAGUCAGAUGCGAAGGAUUGAAGAAUGUCGCAUGCUUUAUUGGCUUUCUGCAUUGCUCGUGCAGCUGUGUGGAGGACGCAAACCCCUGUGGAUUCUUGACGUUGCGCCCGUGUAGGCGGGGCCAUUCUGUCAGAUGCAGAAGAGAUGGCCGCACAUGCAUAUGCAAAUGCGUGGCAGACACGAGUGAUUCAAGUUCUUGAACACUUGUUUAAUAAAGGACGCCUCGCCAGAGGUAACAG